CAGAGGUCAACGAGCGUGUUCCCCUGAUCUGCAAGAAUCCUCUUCUCCAUCUUCACUCUCCGCAACCUGAAGGUGGAGAGACAGUCAGCUCUGUAGUUGUCAGUGUUCACCCUCUUGGAGAUGUGAGAGUCCAUCAUGAAGUUGUGGACGUGCUUCUCAGCUCGGGUCAACUCCAGCUUCCUGGCCACCACCGCCACCACCAGGACCGUGCAUCCCGCCCCCUGACUGGAAGAGCUGGAAGAAGUGGCCGGGGAGAGGG